GAGCCAUUAGCUCAGUCGGUAGAGCUUCUGACUUUUAAUCAGAGGGUCGAAGGUUCGAGUCCUUCAUGGCUCACCA
rnacentral:tRNA from 2 species